CCUACGGGUGGCAGCAGUGAGGAAUAUUGGUCAAUGGCCGGAAGGCUGAACCAGCCAUGCCGCGUGAAGGUCAGUGCCCUAUGGGCGUUAAACUUCUUUUGUGCGGGAGCAAUAAUGGUCACGUGUGGCCAGACGAGAGUACCGUACGAAUAAGCAUCGGCUAACUCCGUGCCAGCAGCCGCGGUAAUACGGGGGAUGCAAGCGUUAUCCGGAUUUAUUGGGUUUAAAGGGUGCGUAGGCUGGGAGGUAAGUCAGCGGUGAAAUGCCCCCGCUCAACCAUAAAAUUGCCGUUGAAACUGGAAGACUUGAGUGUGUUUGAGGUAGGCGGAAUGCGUGGUGUAGCGGUGAAAUGCAUAGAUAUCACGCAGAACUCCGAUUGCGAAGGCAGCUUACUAAGCCAUAACUGACACUGAAGCACGAAAGCGUGGGGAUCAAACAGGAUUAGAUACCCCAGUAGUC
rnacentral:rRNA from 1 species